GUCGUGAAGUGUUCGGAUUGCGGCGACGUGGGCGGUUCGCUGCCCGCGACGUUGUGAGAAGUCCACUGAACCUUAUCAUUUAGAGGAAGGAGAAGUCGUAACAAGGUUUCCGUAGGUGAACCUGCGGAAGGAUCAUUG
rnacentral:rRNA from 1 species